GCCCCUCGCAGAGCUAACACCAGUGAGUGCCGGAGAUAAGCGCCGGAAGGGGUAAAAAAU
rnacentral:sRNA from 1 species